rnacentral:rRNA from 1 species
UCAGGACGAACGCUGGCGGCGUGCCUAACACAUGCAAGUCGAGCGGAGCCAUCUGAAGAUCCCUUCGGGGUGAUUAGGGAAGCUUAGCGGCGGACGGGUGAGUAACACGUGAGUAACCUGCCCUUAUGAGGAGGAUAACACACCGAAAGGUGUGCUAAUACUGCAUAAUAUAUAUUUUUUCGCAUGGAGAAUAUAUCAAAGAUUUAUCGCAUAAGGAUGGACUCGCGUCCGAUUAGGUAGUUGGUGAGGUAACGGCCCACCAAGCCGACGAUCGGUAGCCGGACUGAGAGGUUGAACGGCCACAUUGGGACUGAGACACGGCCCAGACUCCUACGGGAGGCAGCAGUGGGGGAUAUUGCGCAAUGGGGGAAAAACCCCUGACGCAGCAACGCCGCGUGAAGGAUGAAGGUUUUCGGAUCGUAAACUUAUGUCAUCGGGGACGAGAGAGGACGGUACCCGAGGAGGAAGCCACGGCUAACUACGUGCCAGCCGCAGC